CGUCGGAUUAGGAACACGUUUUCAUUGGCCAGCUGCCCCAGGUUUCUCCACACGCAACCUCCUCCUCUGCUCCUUUCUCUUCCUCGGCGCCGCCGGAUCUGCGGCAGCUCCUGCCCAUGGUCCCCUGCCGCACCGAGGGAGCACGGCGCCGCUGAGAUGCGGGGCGAUGCGCUGCCGCCUACCGCUCCCUUGGCCUUCUCUCAUCCCCUGCCCCUCCCUCCUCUACGGCGACGGCGAGCUCUUCGAGUCGGGGGCCUCGCCGCUCGUCUUCCUGCCCUGCUCCUGAUCCAGGGCGGCGGCAUGAACCUCUCCCGCGUCGACGAGAAUCUCCUCAGCUCCGUCUGCUGCGCGCGCUCCCUCGCCCUCCUCCCCCCGACCCCAGCCCCUUCCCGUGUCGAGGUUCCAGCUCGAGCUGUUGUUGCGGCGACGACUGGAUUUGAUGUCACUGAAGUUCUAAAAAUUACAUGAUGGCUUGCUUAAUUUUCUUCAUUAAGAGCAGAGAAGGAGAGGGAAGAGAAAGACAAAGAUAUUUAGCUUUCCUUCCAGUUAUCAUUGCAUUACUUUUCUUUAGGGUUUUCGAUCAUUGGUUCUAAGAAAUUAACCCCAAGAAAGGGUGCCUUCUGAUGUCUAUAAAUCUAAGCUUUAUCUGUUCUUGGGAUCCGAUGGAAGCUUGUGAUUUAGGAUUAAUUAGAUUAUCUGAUUACAAAAGUGGCUCCUUUCUUGGUUUGUUCUUGUCCCUGUAAGCUGAGCUUCUAUCCAUCCGUCCGUAAUAGAAGAAGCUUAUUUCCUUCCUAGGCUUGUAGUAUCAUCUCAUGCUCCCUUGUGCUGUGAAUUCGUAAUGCAAUGUAUACAAAUUGGAGGCAGCCUCCCUGCUUACAGUACUACUUACUACAGUUUUUUCAUUAAUUAAUUGGCUUAACUUGUACUUGCGCCUGCACUUUUCUGCUAGAAUAAUGGGCCUUUUGCACUAAAUCCAUCAUUAACAAUGCCAUUUUUAUAAUGCUUGCAUGCAUCCCUACGAGCAGAUUAACGUGUGCCUAAACAAUAAAAAAAAAGCCGAGAUACACAUCCUUCUUGCAAGCAGGAAGACAUGAAGACAGUGACUUGAUCCGCCCAGUCCAGGGGAGGAAAGCAACAGGGAAACCCCGCCUUCUGCCACCAGUAUGAGAUAACGGCCAUAGGACACACGAUGCAUCCUGGUGCGCUUAACCCACAGCCAUCAUUUGACAGGAUUUGACAUGGAUGAUGUAGUAAGAAUGUACAUCCGAUACACACUGAAUGGAAAACAAUUCAAUCCUGAUGUGGUUCUGGAUCUCAUACGUCUUAGGAAAGCAUCAAUGUUUGAAGAUAAUGAAGUUGCUGAAAUUCUGAAUCAGAUAUCAAGACGAAUUGUUCGGGAAAAAGUGGAUGAGCUCGAGGAGGUGUUCUACGAGGAGGUCGGUGCUGCAUUUUCCGACACAUGGGUCCUGCCGUCUUGUGUCAGUUGGGUUUGAUGCUUUUGAUUUUGAAUUAUGUGAAGGAACUCAACCCCAUAAAGUACAUUCUGGCAAAUAUUUUGGAAGAAGUUGGUGAUGCCACCUAUUUCGAUAAGCAGGUUUAGUGAUCUACUAUCCUAAAUUCCUUGCUAAAAACAUCAUCUGAGAGGAAUAUUUAGCUUGGAUUUCCUCUUGUCAUGGUAUCAACAACACAUCCUUGCCUUUAGCACAGAUAUUUAACUGGUUAAUAUAUAUGCUUUGCUUACUUCAUCAGCCUAUGUUUGAACAUUUUGUAUAAUAUUUUUAACUGGUCAACAUACUUGUAGAUCUACAAUUAUUAUGUUAGGUGUUAGACCCAAUGAAUAAGACCGAUCCCCAGUAAUUUGUUAAUAUCACCAAGUCAGAACCCAUACAGGAGGUGGACUGCAUACUGCAAGUGCCUCACAUUGUUGUCACAGCUGAUCUAGAGACGAUCUCCACAAAGAAAAUAUUGGGCCAGUUGACCUUCCACGGGCAUGCAUAUCAGAAUCAAAUCAAAAGCCGGAAGCUUCAAUCUUGCCUUAUUCACAUAGCUUUUCAAGAUCAAAUGAGGAUUUGCCUGAUGUGGCCCAUAGCUAGAUAUUUGCACGUGAUAGGUACUUCUUUUUGACUGCUCUAGCUAUGUAAUACACUAUAACAAUCUCUAGGAUUUUAUUUAGCCACCAGUGAAGCCUAGCAGGUAGGUGGGUCAACAGUGAACCUUUUCAAUUGUCAUUAUACCAUUGAUAUCCAAAUCUUGGAUGAGUUUUUCUUGAUU